rnacentral:rRNA from 1 species
GACGAACGCUGGCGGCGUGCCUAACACAUGCAAGUCGAGCGGGAUCCAUCUGGUGGCAACACCGGGGAAGAUCUAGCGGCGAACGGGUGAGUAACACGUGAGAAACCUGCCCCGAACUUCGGGAUAACACGGGGAAACCCGUGCUAAUACCGAAUACCCUCUACCGGUCGCAUGGCCGGAAGCGGCAAGAUUCAUCGGUUCGGGAGGGUCUCGCGGCCUAUCAGCUAGUUGGCGGGGUAACGGCCCACCAAGGCAUCGACGGGUAGCUGGUCUGAGAGGACGAUCAGCCACACUGGGACUGAGACACGGCCCAGACUCCUACGGGAGGCAGCAGUGGGGAAUCUUGCGCAAUGGGCGAAAGCCUGACGCAGCAACGCCGCGUGCGGGAUGAAGGCCUUCGGGUUGUAAACCGCUUUCAGCAGGGAAGAAAAUGACGGUACCUGCAGAAGAAGCCCCGGCCAACUACGUGCCAGCAGCCGCCGCGGUAA